rnacentral:rRNA from 1 species
UAGGGAAUCUUGGACAAUGGGCGCAAGCCUGAUCCAGCCAUGCCGCGUGGGCGAGGAAGGUCUUCGGAUCGUAAAGCCCUUUUCUCGGGGAAGAACCGCCUCUGGAGGAAAUGCCAGGGGUCUGACGGUACCCGAGGAAUAAGCAACGGCUAACUCCGUGCCAGCAGCCGCGGUAAUACGGAGGUUGCAAGCGUUGUUCGGAAUGACUGGGCGUAAAGGGAGCGCAGGCGGCUUGUUAAGUCUGGAGUGAAAGCCCGGGGCUCAACCCCGGCGGGUCUUCGGAUACUGGCAAGCUAGAGUACGGAAGAGGAAAGCGGAAUUCCAGGUGUAGCGGUGAAAUGCGUAGAUAUCUGGAGGAACACCGGUGGCGAAAGCGGCUUUCUGGUCCGAUACUGACGCUCAUGCUCGAAAGCGUGGGGAGCAAACGGG